AGUGAACGCUGGCGGUAGGCCUAACGCAUGCAAGUCGAACGGCAGCACAGUAAGAGCUUGCUCUUACGGGUGGCGAGUGGCGGACGGGUGAGGAAUACAUCGGAAUCUACUUUUUCGUGGGGGAUAACGUAGGGAAACUUACGCUAAUACCGCAUACGACCUACGGGUGAAAGCAGGGGAUCUUCGGACCUUGCGCGAUUGAAUGAGCCGAUGUCGGAUUAGCUAGUUGGCGGGGUAAAGGCCCACCAAGGCGACGAUCCGUAGCUGGUCUGAGAGGAUGAUCAGCCACACUGGAACUGAGACACGGUCCAGACUCCUACGGGAGGCAGCAGUGGGGAAUAUUGGACAAAGGGCGCAAGCCUGAUCCAGCCAUACCGCGUGGGUGAAGAAGGCCUUCGGGUUGUAAAGCCCUUUUGUUGGGAAAGAAAAGCGGCAGGUUAAUACCCCGCUGUUCUGACGGUACCCAAAGAAUAAGCACCGGCUAACUUCGUG
rnacentral:rRNA from 1 species